AGGGUGGACGAGGAUGACAUCAUCUCUCACAUCGUAGCUAGGCUCGAAGAAGAUUUCAACGCGGUGGUUUCUGCCAUGUGCUCCUGGGUGGAAUCGAUGACCGUGGCCGAGCUGUACUCACAGCUGCUCAGCUUCGAGA
rnacentral:snoRNA from 1 species